GAAAUGCGAUAAGUAAUGUGAAUUGCAGAAUUCCGUGAAUCAUCGAAUCUUUGAACGCACAUUGUGCCCUCUGGUAUUCCGGGGGGCAUGCCUGUCCGAGCGUCAUUGCGAACCCCUCAAGCACGGCUUGUGUGAUGGGCCCUCCCGCGUCUUGGUCGUCAAGACGGGCCCGAAAUGCAGUGGCGGCUUCGCGGUUAUCCGAUCAGCCAGAGCGUAUGGGGACUUUCUCUCUGUCACACGCCCGCGGCGCGGACCGACGCCUGUCGACCUUUAUUCAUCUUUUUCUCGGUUGACCUCGGAUCAGGUAGGGAUACCCGCUGAACUUAAGC
rnacentral:misc_RNA from 1 species